AAACCAGCACCUCAAGUGGUCAGGAUGAUUAUUGGGCCUAAAGCAUCCGUAGCCGGCUCUGUAAGUUUUCGGUUAAAUCUGUACGCUUAACGUACAGGCUGCUGGAAAUACUGCAGAGCUAGGGAGUGGGAGAGGUAGACGGUACUCGGGAGGAAGUGGUAAAAUGCUUUGAUCUCUCGAUGACCACCUGUGGCGAAGGCGGUCUACCAGAACACGUCCGACGGUGAGGGAUGAAAGCUGGGGGAGCAAACCGGAUUAGAAACCCUGGUAGUCC
rnacentral:rRNA from 1 species